UACGAAGGGGGCUAGCGUUGUUCGGAAUUACUGGGCGUAAAGGGCGUGUAGGCGGUCCGCUAAGUCAGGUGUGAAAGGCCUGGGCUCAACCCAGGAAAUGCGCCUGAGACUGACGGACUUGAGUCCGGGAGAGGAUGGUGGAACUCCCAGUGUAGAGGUGAAAUUCGUAGAUAUUGGGAAGAACACCCGUGGCGAAGGCGGCCAUCUGGACCGGUACUGACGCUGAGGUGCGAAAGCGUGGGGAGCAAACAGG
rnacentral:rRNA from 1 species